UUCCAGUUUAGCUCGGUAGUUCGUAUUCGUAACGUGAGAGGUUUGAGAGGAUCUUCGGGAGGCUUAUUAUAACGCACGACCCUUUCGGUUUUUCAACUUUUCAUGACUGAAAGUUUAUGUGAUUUGGUGAUAUCGUGACACUGCUGCAACCCGGACAUCCCGAACACUAUUGGAUACCCUUCAAAUUCAAGCGUCUCGCUUUUUUAGUGUGUUUUUCUCGGCUUUAAAGGGUUGAACUUCAAGCAAACCUACGGAAGGCGAAUAACGUGUAUUAGGAGCGUGAGGAAAUUGUUCCUGGAGAAACCUCACAAGUGACUCUUCAACUUGCAAGACGAAACUGUAUAUAAUAUGUGUGCUGAAACAGUGGCUGCAGCGGCAAUGAGGCGUGCUGUGCGCUAGCAUUGACUAUGGAAGCGCCGGUAUGGGCAUGCGCACGCACCUCCGGGCCCCUCCGACCCACUCAUCAGCCGCUGCGUUCACAAACUCGCCGAACUCAACGCGCAGCAACAACUUGCGACCUACUGUGCGCCUGUCCGCUUUGCCGUCACUUUUCCUCGCCGUUGCUCUUUGCUUGCUCCCAGUUACAGUAUCAACCGAUUCAUCGGCAAACGUCAACUCUGCAAACAAUGACGGCAGUUCGAGCGACGGAAAUAGCGGCGGCAGCAGCGGAGGCGGCGGCGGUUACCAGGAUGCGGUGCAUAUCACCGCCAUCUUGGGCGAGUCCGUCGUUUUCAACUGUCAGGUUGAAUUUCCCGAGGGACAUCCGGUCCCGUACGUGUUACAGUGGGAGAAGAAGAAGAGCCGUACCUUGAUUGAGUACUUUUUAAAGGGACAGGAUAUUCCGAUAUACAUCUGGUAUGAAAGCUACCCUACCCACAGCGGCGAGGGUUACGAGGGACGAGUAUCCCGCGUAUCCCCUGAGUCCAACUAUGGUGCCGCAUCGCUCAAUCUCACUAAUAUUAAGGAAUCUGACCAAGGAUGGUACGAAUGCAAAGUGGUAUUCCUCAACCGUUCCCCGAACCAACACAAGAACGGCACCUGGUUCCAUCUGGACGUGCACGCGCCCCCCAGAUUCGUAGUCACCCCGGAGGACGUAAUCUACGUGAACCUGGGGGACGCGAUCAUCCUUAACUGCCAGGCCGAGGGCCAACCCACACCAGAGAUACUCUGGUACAAGGAUGCUAACCCUGUGGAUCCAGCGACGACAAUAGGAAAUAUAGGAAUUUUCAACGAUGGCACAGAACUACGCAUAUCCAAUAUUCGACACGAAGAUAUCGGAGAUUAUACCUGCAUAGCGCGUAAUGGAGAGGGACAGAUCUCUCAUACUGCCAGAGUCAUUAUAGCUGGAGGUGCUGUUAUUAUGGUCCCACCAACCAAUAAGACUACCCAGGAGGGUGAAAAGGUCCAAUUCAAAUGUGAAGCCAAAGCUCAACCUGGAAAUGUGACAGUAAAAUGGUUUAGAGAGGGUGCUCCAGUUAAAGAGUUAGCGGCAUUAGAAACUCGUGUACAAAUACGGAAAGAUGGCUCUUUAGUAAUUAAUCCGGUUAUUCCAGAUGAUUCCGGCCAGUACCUCUGUGAGGUGAGCAAUGGAAUCGGUGAACCCCAAAGUGCAUCGGCCUACUUAGAUGUGGAAUAUCCAGCCCGCGUAACAUUUACUCCCACAGUCCAAUAUCUCCCAUUCCGACUGGCAGGAGUGAUACAGUGCUACAUUAAAGCUAAUCCCCCUAUGCAAUAUGUUACCUGGACCAAAGACAAACGUGUGCUGGAACCAUAUCAAAUAAAAGACGUCGUUGUUAUGAAUAAUGGAUCUUUGUUACUUACGCGUGUUAAUGAAAACCAUCAGGGUCAAUAUACGUGCACUCCAUACAAUGCUCAUGGGACAAAAGGCAGUUCUGGAAUAAUGGAUGUUUUGGUAAAGAAACCUCCAACAUUUACAGUUCAGCCUGAGAGUAUGUAUCAAAAGAAAGUAGGCGAAUCAGUAGAAAUGCACUGCGAAGCUGUGGGAGCUGAGGAUACUUCUAAGCCAACAAUUCAGUGGGCACGAAGAGAUGGAUCGCCACUUCCUAAAAACCGCGUAAAGAUUAUAGGAGGAAAUAUAACGAUAGAAAAUUUACAAAGAAGUGACUUCGGAUUUUACCAAUGUGUAGCAACAAAUGAAGUGGCUACAAUAGUCUUGUCAACACAACUAGUUGUAGAAGGCACCCAACCGCAUGCACCAUAUAACUUAAGCGGGACAGCGACAGAGUUUAGCGUAACUCUAAGUUGGAUGCCAGGUUACAGUGGUGGCCCAGACUACAAACAAGACUAUACCUUAUGGUACCGCGAAGCUGGACAAACUGAAUGGGCUACUAUACCUGUUACUCCAUCAGGUAGUACUCAAGUGACUAUUAACCGGUUAGCUCCUGGUACGACUUAUGAGUUUCAAGUAGUCGGAAAAAAUGCCCUUGGAGAUGGCAUGAUGAGUAAAACAUUUACAAUACGAACAGUAGAAGACGUUGGAUUACCAGUUCAAAAUACCCCCGCCUCGGUUAAUCCAGCCCCAAAUAACGAAAAUUUGGUGUAUUUAGGUCCAAAACCCGGUUCUCCCAGGAACCUGACUGUAACAGAAGUGGACCAUGGAUUCCUCAUUUCCUGGAUGCCUCCAAUGGAUCGAAGUGUCGAUAUCCAUCACUACGUUAUAAAAUAUAGAACGGAUGGACCUUGGAAGACCUUAAAUAAGGCUCAGAUAAGACCUGAAGAUACUCAAUAUUUAGUCAAGAACUUAGUUGGCGGAAGGACAUACUACUUCCGUGUAUUUGCUCAUGGCUUAGAAAGUUAUGAAGAAAGUGAAGAAGUUAAAUAUUCAGUUCCUGCACGUGUUAAGCAUAAGGCAAUCACUGCAGGGGUUGUAGGAGGAAUUUUGUUUUUUAUAGUCGCGAUCAUACUUUCUGUAUGUGCUGUAAAAAUAUGUAACAAAAGGAAAAGACGGAAACAGGAAAAAGCAUACAACAUGGUAGCUUGUAGAAUCUCCGAUGCCAGAAACGGAAGCGGAGCUACCGAGAGUCAAGUGCCUUUGAAAAAGACGGUUGAGUCCGAGUCGUAUCGUGAUUACGAGAGCGUGUUUAUAAUUCCCGGGACAUCUGUUGACACAAACCUUUCUGAUCGGUCUCGUGUGAUUCUUGCCGCCGCCCGAACGGACCACCACCAACCAGGAGGAAAUCAGGUGAAGGAUUGCAACCCGGCCGCCACUGAGCCGCCCACACAGAGCUGCACCCAACACCCAAGCACAUGUAUUAGCUCAAUUACUAUUUGAUUCUUGCACUCAUACUCAGUUUUUCUUUACUUACGAUGCUGAUAUUGCUGCCAACAUUCGUUUUACCUGUCAUAUAUGACUUAGAAAAGGCAGAAUACCAGGUCUAAGCAUCAUAGCAUUUGUCAUCAAUUGGAUAUGGCCGCGGGAUCGUUGUCGAUCUGGCAGUCUGUCUAGUCUAACUUGGCACCCGGACUACAUUCAACCUGGAU
rnacentral:misc_RNA from 1 species